UUUGUACACCAGUCACACCAUAAAACAGUUUAUCAUAUAAAAUACCUCAACUUUCUGUAUUCCUCACCUCCGCCUCAAAGUUGUACUGGUGAUAAUUUUGAGGGUCUAUCCUUUAGCUUAUAGGUGAGUUUUCACAUCUGGCCAGAUUCUUAUACCUCCAUCAUAUACUUGAAUAGAUUAAGAAAUAUAGGAAUGGGAACAAGAAUUUGGCCCAAUUUCACAACUCAUUUAUUUUCAUACAUAUUUCUCACAUGCUGUUAAAUGCAACAAAAGAAUUAUAUUUUAAAAAAGUGUAACUUUCUGUUACAUCAAAAAAUACUGUCUAGUGAAAAGUUGAUACUCAGUAGAACAAUGAUCAUGUAAAUAAACAUCUAUUUCAAAUGUACCCAAUAUGAUAAAAAGCAUAGUCUAGGCCCCAGAGCAUGAGCCGGGAGGAUUUAUUUGUUAUUUUCUCUAUUUUCCUCUGUGAAGCUUUAAUUUUCCUUUAUUUUUUUGUUUUAAAAAGAAGGGUUUUAUAUAUUCUGUUGUAAAAUAUGGAAAUUAAACAAGGACUUUAAAGAGCUGCACUGAGAGAUCACAUUCUGAUGGUGUGAUGAGCUUCUUUGACAUUUCACAAAGGUGUAUGUUCUGCAGAAGAAUCAAUGACCUGUAAACCAGAUGAAUUCUGUUGUGUUUACUUUGUAAUGGGUGAUGCUGAACUUCCUGCUUCCGAGCGGCUCAACCCUGACCAUGAACUACCUGACACCAGGUGGAUGUCAGGAACUCCCA
rnacentral:lncRNA from 1 species